GCCUGUUCCAGCGCCUCCAGUAGAAAUUCUUGACUGGAGGCUCUACCAGAGGUUUCUGGAGGCGCUGGAACAGGCCCAUCUUGUUUCUUUUAUUCAAUAUUUAAUCGAAAUUUUUGAAGAUAUCUAUGCUGAUUAAAAGGACUACAUUUCACAGUCAUCUUUGGUAGUUAUUUAUUAUCACCGCGCCCCUUGGGAAGGGUUUGCUGAAGUUCAACAUGUUUCUAACAAGAGCCCUGCUGAAGAAACCAAAGUCAAAGGACGUGAUGGUCCUACUACAGAGCAUGAUCACCGGCCACAAGAGGACGGCCAUCCGGCAGAGGCUGGAUGAUAAAGUGGAAAAGAUAGCAUUCGACCCAUUCAUUCAAAUGGACGCGCCGUACAAGGAGUUGAAAAGGAUACGAAGUCUGGGGAAGAAGGAGUAGAUAGUCGUUCAUUGUGUUUUCAUCAUGCGCAGUAUGUUUGUAUUGUUAAAUACGGCCAGGUAUGCCGUACCCGGCCUGUGAAUAUACCGAGAUGUGAGGCUAUGUACGGACACGAGUCAUCAGCAGUACUGAACUCCCCAUGACCUUGUCAUCGAGGCCGCAAUAUAUGGUGGCUCACGUAUCGGCGAGUGUUUAUAAACGCGAUACUACCACGGUUGUUGUGUCGAUUUGGGCUAAAUGCGCAAUUCAACUCUCGAUCCGGAUAUGACGAUGCAUAGAAGACCAUGAGGUUAACACCGGGAUUAUGCAUGGCUACACAUACUCUUUGCUCUUUCUUGCUCUUUCUUUGCCCCUAAAAUUGUUCACAAGAUUCAAGGAACACAUCUAAUCAUGUGAUUUGGUUUCUAUAGAUUCUUUUAGCUAUUAUCUGACUAUUCGUUCGUCUUUCGUCCUGGAUAUUCAUUCCUUUCCUGCUGGUUUGACCUACCAGGCUGCUGCCUGUCGAUUUGCGCCCGCUGAUCCCGGUCGGACUCAGUCGCCGCUCCCCUUACAUCAGCCGCCGACCUCCGUCGGCCCGUCGCCGUGCCUGUGCACGUGCCGGGACGGCGCCUCCCGUCUGGCUCCAAUGAAAAUCGCUUGUAAACGAGGCAUGCUUCGUGCCCAGGCCCGCUCAGCCCGGCCGACGGGUACGGAGAAGGGUGCAGAGCAGCUCGGCCUCUGCGCCGCGCCGGAGGACGCUGCAGUCAGUUCCGAACGUGCCGACUGCGCCGACGGCGACGGUUUCUUGGUUGUCGUUUGCUGAAGUGAUAUUGAAGCGACACUUUGGUCCAACUUUGGUCGAGCUGGUCGAGCCGUGAACCCUGUGAUUCUGUUGGUACGGUGCGAGGUCGUAUUCGUUAUGUUUUGUCAUGGUGUCAGGGAAAAGAGGGUAGUGAUUAUUGGAUGGUAACAUCGGUCGGGUCUUGUGAGAAAUCUACUAGACUAAGCGCUACACCCUCAGCAGGAGCCUCCCUGCGGCACCGGCACCAUGGCUGCUGCUGCGGCCGCCCCGACGCCCGACCUGCCGGCCGCCGUCCGCUCGUUCGUCGAGAGCUCGCGCCAGCUGGCGGAGGCUGCUGGCGAGCAGCUGGACAGAGUUCCGGCAUCUCAGUUUCUGUCGAACAAGAUUGAAAUGCUCGGUGGGCUUAUCGAGAUGUAUCAAGGACUCUUCAACAGCUGCGGCGUCGAAUCGCGGAAGGCUUUGGAGGAGAAGGCUCGGGCCAGUGAUGACAAGGAAGCCAUGUCGGCCAUUGAUGCCCUGAUGGAUGCGGAGUCAGAGUGGGACCAGUUCAUCACUCGCCUCAGCGCGCGGCUGGGCGCCGACUCUGUGCCGGGGCCGCGGCUGCACACCGGUCUCCCGUGCGGCCGUCUGCAGCUGGCGGAGGCCCGCAGCGGGCUGCUGCGGCCGCUCUACGAGCCGGCCGGGCCGCGCCUGCUGGUGCUACUCCGACACCUUGCCUGACAGCCGUGACGUCGGCACGUCGCCGAGCUGCAGCACAGACGGGCCGAGUUGGAGCGUCUGCGCUACGCCGUGCUGGUCGUGUCGUUCUCGGACCGUGGCGCCGUGCUCCGCUGGCUCUCUGAGACGGGCUGCCCGUUCCCGGUGCUGCUGGACCCGCGGCGCCGCCUCUACACCGCCCUGGGACUGCCAACCGACCUGCAACAGGUAUGGAGUCACUCGGCCCUGCUGGAGGAGGCUGAGCGACGUCUGGAGGCUCCCGACUCUCCUCCACUGGAGGUACCGUACCGCGGCGGCCCGGCCGACCCCCACCAGCUCGGUGGCGACUUUCUGCUGGACAGCAGCGGUCGGCUGAUGCUGUCCCACCCGAGCGCCGACCCGGCCGACCGGCCGACCGUACAGCAACUUCUGGACACACUGGGACGGCACGCGGCUGGGGAUCAGUAGAUGGAGGGGGCGUCUCCCGGCGAUGAGUAGGGGGGGGGAGGGGCGUUUUCCGGCGAUCAGUAGGGGGAGAGGGGGGCGUCUUCGGUGAUCAGAAGGGGGGAGGGGGCGUCUCCCGGUGAUCAGAAGGGGGGGGGGAGGGGGCGUCUCCCGGUGAUCAGAAGGGGGGAGGGGGCGUCUCCCGGUGAUCAGAAGGGGGAGAGGGGGCGUCUCCCGGUGAUCAGUAGAGGGGGGGGGCGUCUCCCGGCGAUCAGAAAGGACAACACCGGUGACUAGUAGAGGGGGGGGGUCCCCCGGUGACCAGUAGGGAGAAGGGGCGUCCUCGUUACUCAGUAGCGGACGAUACGACCAGUAGGGGACAACAUGAGUAGGGGGGGGACGACACCGUUGACCAGUAAGGGGCCGGUGGAGAUGAAAAAAAAAAAACGUAAAUGAAUUUGCAGGACCAGUAAAAGAGACGAAGGACGACUUAGAGCAAGGGGUCGGAGAAAGAGGUGUGGGCUCAGCAGUAUAUACCGAACGCUCUGGGAUCAUGCUGUCUGUCCACGGUGACCAUACAAAUUGUUACACAACCUCUUGGUUAUCACAAACCCAAGACUAUAUUCUCUAACCCAUUUUGGGAUAAUAUAGUCUUCUUCUUGGUCCCGAAGGAUCGCUGGCCUUUGGUUCAGAUAUAUAAUUUAUGCACCCCAGUUUCUCAAUUUUUACCGUUUCACUACUGGUCGUCCCGCCGUCCCCUCUCCCCCUCCCAGCCAUCGGGGGCCUUCAGUCACCCACGCCGUCUCGAGCUGCGAGCCCGGGCGGCUCCCUUAUGACGCUCCGCGGCCAGGCCCGCCGCACGGGAGCCGCGGAGCCGAGAGACGGAGCCGGCCGGAGCCCGGAGCCGAGUCGGUCUGGGAGACGCUGGCAGCCAAAUGGGAGACGCCGGGAGACUGGGAGACGCCGGGAAGACUGUGGGAGACGCCUGGAAUAACUGAGCCAGCUGGCUGUAAAUGGUGCCGGGUCGGCUGAUCGGGAGACUACCAACGACAUUGGGUGUCGCCCAUUACUCGUCCCCUUUCGUGAUGAAAGCGAUCGAUCACGGCCAUAUCACGAUACUAACGAUUUGUAAAUAGAACGUGCUAAUGCAGCGAAAACGCUGAUUCGUUGCGCGUGUGUACGUCUUAGCUUCAAGUACCCAUAUGCGGCAGUCAUGUCUGUUCAGUAACAUGAAUGGGCGACGUUACUGAUGAUGUAUUCUUACCCUAAUACGUAAAUACAAAUUUAUCUACUACGAGCGAA
rnacentral:misc_RNA from 1 species